rnacentral:tRNA from 1 species
GGCGACGUGGUUCAACAGGUAGGACGGAGGCAUCAUGCCCCUCAGAUCGGGGUUCGAGUCCCUGCGGCGCUA